AUGGGGAUACUUGGACCCACCUCCUGGGUUGUUGUGAACAUGAGACAGUGGGCGGAAGGCAGGUGCCCGUGCAAACAGCCACGCGCCUCAGAGUGGAUGCGCAAUGGACCAAGUGAAAGGGAACCGGCACGUACACAUCUGGGCCCCUGCUCUCCUGAGCGUGAACCUGAGCUCCUGCUUCCUCUCUGGAAUGGGAGCUUCUCCCUUGAGGGGAGCCCGGGGGGCCAGGGUGGAAGAAGGGACCUGGGGGACGAGGGGCAGACUCCCUGGCCCUCCUGCAGGCUCCAGCCUAGGACUCGCAAGCGGCGGCUGCACCGCCCGGGCCCGGCUCGCACCGUGUGUGCGCGCACCUGCGUGGGGGGGGGGGGGGGUAAAUCCCCCCCGGUCCCCUCUGGGGCCGCCCUAGCGGGAUUGCCCCCCCCCCCGCCCUCGCCCACCGAAUCCGCGGCUGCCGGGCUUCCCCGACCACGCGUGGGGGCCGGGGGCGCCCCUCGGGCCUGGGUCCCCCAGGCCGCCAGGAAGCAGCUGCGUAGCCCCGGGAGGGCGCGCGGGAGAGACGACCCCCCGCGGGGGGCCCAGGCUCAGGCACAGCCCGACUGGGGCUUGGCCGCCCCCUGCGGCCCCGCGACCCGCGUUCCUUUCCUCGAUGGGUCCGAAGGAGAGCAGCAGUGGCCAACGGUGGGCCCCUGGGAGACAGGCCCGGGGGGCGCCCGGCCAGACGGCGACGGUCCCCGCGGGGCUCGGGCAUCGAGACGCCGCGGCGGCUGCGUGGCCGGCAGAGGGCGCUGUGCUCCGCGGCGGGACCGUCCGGGCGGCGCGGCCCGAGCCCGGAGGACACGCGCUCCGCAGCCCCGCGCGUCUACACCGACCUUCAGUCGUGCUCCGGGGCUGUCUGCUCGGCAUGGACGCGCACCCAUGCUCAGUACACACAGGUUCAGUUUCCCCGACCUUUUGCUCCACCUGCAGCCCGGGGAGAGCCUUGACUCCCCCGUGGGAGGGGGAGGGUGCCCCCCCCCCCCAGGGCUGCUGGUUUUCACCAGGUAG
rnacentral:lncRNA from 12 species